CGGACCUCGGCGCAAGGUAGCGCAAUCGAAAAGAAGGACGAGAACGGAGUGGCGCCAGGAUGGCGCACGAUCACGGAUGUCAGGAUUCACAGUCUGCAAAGCCCCGCCUCGGCGGGGUUUU
rnacentral:sRNA from 1 species